UAGUUUUGGGCCGGAUCACCUGACCCGACCCAUGAGCAUUGUACAUAUAUAGGCUGAAGUGUAGAUAUUUUGGACAGAGACUUCAUUUUAUGUUUUAAUGAAAUUCUCUCUGGAUCUUCUCGAUCCUUCUCUCAACUACCUCCUUCUCUCUCUUGUUUCUCUCACUAUAUUGUUCAUAUUUCUUCAGUUUGAUCUUAAUGUUUUCAUGGUAUCAGAGCCUAGACGAUGAUCCGACUAUGUUCUUCUGCAUAUUGUUAUCUUGGUUGAAGUCUCGCUUGAGAUUUUUGGGGGUGUUUCUGACGCAUGUGGUCGAUGACGAUUCCGAUCUAAAUCGGAUGCUUUUCUGAGACUUUCAUCGUGAUAUCUGAGUAUAUCUUCUUCACUCGGUGGUCGAUGACGAUUCCGAUCUAAAUCGGAUGCUUUUCUGAGACUUUCAUCAUGAUAUCUGAGUAUAUCUUCUUCACUUGAACGUUCUGGGAGAUUUUCCGAUGAUUUUUGGGUGAUUUCUCGGUGACUUAUCAGCUUCUAGGGUUUCUGGUGGUUGAACCUAGGGUUUAACUGCUAUCCGGUGGCUCGGUCCUCACUCAGUGGAUGUUUUGGGUGACUUUCCGACAUCUCUGGCCAUAUUUCCAGUAAGGUUUUCGACGGUUGCACCUAGGGUUUUGUACCUAGGGUUUUCUCUGUUGAUUGAAGGCCGAUCUUCUCCGAUCGCGAAGAAGGAGGGUAACUCUAUCCUUAUCUUGAAGUAUUGUAUGCUUUGUGUGUAAUUAUCUGACUCCGUAUGUGAGUAUCUGGUUUUGUGUGUGAAUAUAUGGUUUGGUUAUACUCUACUUGUCGAAACUAUUUUUUUUAAGCCGGUUCAUUGAUUAUGGCUUCUACUACGAAUGCUGGUACCUCCUCCUCCUCGGUAGACUCUACCAGCCCCCUCUUUGUAUACUCCUCUGAUGUCCCUGGGGUCUCUCUUGUCCCCACUCCCUUCUCGGGAAGUGGUUAUGGGGGUUGGAGGAGAAAAAUGAUUGUUGCAUUAUCUGCUAAGAACAAAAUUGGUUUUGUUGAUGGUACAUGCUCCCGACCAGCCAUUAAUGUGGCUCAACAAAGGUUAUGGGAUAUGUGCAAUAACAUGGUGAUUUCUUGGUUAACUGCUUCCCUCUCCCCUCAAAUUGCUGAAAGCGUGCAGUAUUCUGAUACUGCACAGAGUAUAUGGUCCCAACUCCAGGCUAGAUAUGGCACUGCAAACAGGACCAAAAUCUUUGAAUUGAAAAGAGAUCUUUCUCACACUUCUUAAGGAUCCUUAGAUGUAGCUUGAUAUUUUAAUAAGCUCAAAGGUCUGUGGGAUGAACUAGAAUCAAUGUGUGUUAAUCAUGGUCAN
rnacentral:lncRNA from 1 species